rnacentral:lncRNA from 1 species
GGGAACAGCCUGGCUUGCCUAAACGCCUCUGCUAAGAGGAGCCUGUUGAGGUUUUGUUUUUGUUUUUUGUUUGUUUGUUUGUUUGUUUGUUUGUUUGUUUGUUUUUCUCCUUUUCCUCACUUUAACCAAGCGAUUUUUUUUUAAAGUUUUGUCCUUUCCUCGCUCCUUUCCUGUGCUGGUGAACUUGGCUAAAGAAAAUGCUGACUUCGAUGCCCACCUGAGUUCAAUGGAGAACUGUAGAUGAUCUCUUCAAGGAAGGCUUUGCUUCCUUCGCUUCCUCGCCACCCCUCUCCCCAGCCUUUCCUAUCUUUUUGCGUAUAUUUGAGUGUCCACUGUGUUCCAGGCCUCAUGCAAUUCUCAACCGGAUUCCAGUUCUCCAGGGACUUUCCAGUCUGGUUGACCGAAUCAAAUCCAGCUAAGCACCCCCUACUCAGAAGUUGAUUUACCAGGCUGGCAUAGUGUAUAGGUCCUGAUGAGGGGUUUACCGGCGUGUAAAUGAGGAAAAGAGCAGAAAUUUUCACCAUGUGAAAACAGUAAAUCCAGGCGAUGAUACGGGGAUGAAGUAGGACCACUUCAGAAAUGCUUCCAUUUUCUGAAGUACUGUUCUGUACUCAGAUUAUGUUUCUAUUUUCUUGUGAUGGUUAUAUAAGAAACUACAGGGCUGAGAGAUAGCUCAGUAAGAACCUAAGUUCAUUCCACCCUCAGAAUCCGUAUUUUAAAAGCCAGGCAUGGCAGCCAGCACUGUGGAUGCAGACAGGCAGACUAGCCUACGAGGCAAGCUCUAGGCCAGUGACCACAAAAGACAGGUGGGCAACCCCUAAGGAACUACACUUUCGAGUUGUCUUCUGACCUAAUGCACAUGCAUUAGAACACAUAUAUGGCACAUGCACAUACAAAAUACAAAGCCUUGAACAAGUUUAAAAAAACUUAUGAAAAAUUAAACUUUGCAGAAUUGAUUUGAACAAACAGUUGUUUCAUGAAUAGACUCUGGCCCAGUCAAAGUUCAGAGUGUUCCAUCAGUGAGCAAGCAAUCUUUGUAAAUUAAAAAAAGGUAAAAAGAAACAUAUAAUACUGUGGUUGGUCAUAUCUUAGUAUUUACCUUAUAAAAACAUGGUGUGAUCAGCUGUCAUACUGACUGGCUAAAAGUCAACUACUAUGACUGACUAAGACUCAGCAACACGUUAUAAGAAUACUAACAUACUCUUAAGUGAAGCUGCAGUUCAAGCUAUUUAGUUUUUCAAAGGAAGGAGUUGGUUGUAGGCCAAACUUAAUGCACACAUGGCUUAACUUACAGUAAUUUUCACUUAUUCACAUUAUGAACAAGAACCUUUUAAAAUAUUGUGAUGUACAAAAUUCUUGCCUCUAUUCAAUAAUGUGAAUGGAUUAAUCAUUAUUACAUAUUUAAUCCUAAUAUUUAAACAUACAUUAUACCCAUGCAUUGUCCAAUAACUUCUGGAAGAUAUGCAAGUUUAUGAUGUAGUGUUCUAGAAUCAUGAUUUGAUAAGUUUGCAUGACGGAGGAUUCCUUUCAAGCAUUCCCUGAUUCUAGGGAAAAGCAUAACUAUCAGCAUUGAGCAGGUAAUUGCUGUGUCAGUUUGCUGUGAGUUGCUAUAACAAAAUACCACAGACUGGGUAUCUUAAUCAAUGCAUUUCUCCAGCUCUGGAUUCUGCAAUGUCUGGCACAUGGUCUUUUCUCUUGGCUUGUAAGCAGCUACUAGCUCAGUGUGCUCACAUGACCUAGUUGAAACACAGUUUAGGAGAGUGCUCUGAAGCCCUCAUAAGGAUACUAAUGGGACCAGGUCAGAGACACAUUCUUUUGAUUUUACUUUGGUUACUCACUUAGAGAUCCCAUCUCCAGAUAUAACUAUGUGAUGGAUUAAGGCUUCUACAUGGAUUUGGGGGAAAACUAUAUUUAUUCCAUAACAACUGCUAGAGGCAGAGGAGUGACCAGAAUAGUGAGGGGGCAGGGAAGAAGCUAUAGCAUGGGGUAGAAAGAAAUAAUGCUAGCAUGAUUAGUCCCUAGUUUUUUCUACAUUCAUCCCAUCCAUGAACGCUCAUUACUUACUGCAUGUGAUUGUGCAUUGGGUAGAACUGGAAUAAAAAUGCCAAAGAUGUACAGUCUUAGCAUAUAUACGUUUAUAUACAUAUAUAAUUACAUGUAUGUUUUCCAAAUGUUAAUAUGAAAUGUCUUAAAUACCCGCUUAUGACACUAAUAAAGUUUGAUAAUAAAC